rnacentral:misc_RNA from 1 species
AACGAGGCCGACCUGCGGCUGAGUUACCUGCGGAGGGAUCAUUACAAGUGACCCCGGUCUAACCACCGGGAUGUUCAUAACCCUUUGUUGUCCGACUCUGUUGCCUCCGGGGCGACCCUGCCUUCGGGCGGGGGCUCCGGGUGGACACUUCAAACUCUUGCGUAACUUUGCAGUCUGAGUAAACUUAAUUAAUAAAUUAAAACUUUCAACAAUGGAUCU